AGUUUUAGGGUUUUGUUAGUGAGAAUCUCGGAGACACGAUCUCUUACUUAGGGCUUGAUUGGAACCGCAAACACCCUUUUCCUUAAACUCCCGUAACCGCAACCGCAUCCGCUGCGUUUAAACCAGUCAGGCCCUCGAUCAAUAUUCUUUAUAUCUCUUAU
rnacentral:sRNA from 1 species